rnacentral:lncRNA from 1 species
AAUUUUUCACCACACGCGUGGUUCUUCAUAAAUAUAUAAUAUAUCACUUUUAAAUUAAUUUUUUAACACGAUAGUAAGAAAAUUGAAAAAAAAUUAAAGGAUAAAUUGAAGGAAACAAGUCAAUAUAUUUAAGGGGGCCUAUAUUUAAUAAGGGUAAGCUUGGAAAAUAAAAGUUAGCAUGUCUCAAGUAUUAAUGACAUUGUUU